GACUCGGGUUGAGAAUGUGAGCAGAUCUCACAAUAUCGCUGGGGGCCUCCUGUAACAGCACCCCCAGGAGCUGAGAACCCUCAGCGCUGCCUGCAAUGAGCCUCCAGCAACUGUCAGUAGCAGUUGGGGUUUUCCUACCUGGUGCUGCUCGCCAUGGCGUGGUUUCAGCUUCUAUCCCUGCUCCGGAAGGACAUACUGUAGUAGACUCUCCUGAUCUGUGGACAGCCCUAUUCACCUGGUCCUGGCAUUCCAGUCUUUGUGAAGGACUACUCCCUGGAGCUAUGGUUCAGAAAUCUCCUUAGAGAAGACCAACUCCACUGGCUCUUUAUUUUAUGCCUCCCUCUCCCUAUUUCAUGCUUUUAAGAAGAUGGAUUUGAUGACCAGAGCUACAACGGCUUCUUAGGAAGAUGAUUCAGCCCUGAGUUUGUUCUGUGAUCCAGGGUACAAGUCUUCAGAUAGAGACUGGCUUCCUGACAAUGCUAAGCACUCCAUAAAAACCACACCGAUCCUGGACUGCCUAUAUCUGGAACCCUUUCAAAGAAGCAAGAAAAACUACUUUCAUUACAGAGGGAGUGACGUUGCAGUUUUAUAUAUCCUAGUUCAGAGCAGAAAUCACAGUGGACUUUUAAAUUUCUGACAUGUUUGAACU